GUAGGGUUGUCACACACUAAGAUUUUGGCUGGCUGGAUAUGGAGAUUUAUUUGGAUAAUUUGUAUUAUUGUUGUUGCUUAUUUAAAAUUUGAUUGUUCUUUGACUUUUUUUUGAGCAGUUAUACCAACACCUUGAGGCAGCAUUAGUCUGCUAUUAACUCUCCCACUCUCAUUUUGUUUGUGCAGACCUUUGUUUAGUCAUGUCGACAAGAUAAUUGAUGAAAAUUCAAACAAGCUGCAAGUGAGGUGGACCGGUGUAAUCUUUAUAAUAUCAAGAAGCGCCAGACCAGCUCUGAUCCUGAGAUACCGCCUCGUUUACGACCAGUGGAAAUCGAAUUCCAGGCUGCUAUUGAGGCAGAGAGAGCGAAGACCCAUGCUGCUUUUGAGGAGAAGGACCGGCAGUUGGCGGAGAGGGACCGACAGGCGGCGGAGAGGGACAGGGAGAAUGAGGAGAGGACGGCUAGGCUGUUGGAGGAGAAGAGGAACCGGAACGACUCGGGUAACCGGGCCAUGUACGAUCUCUUCGUGUCCAUGUGCGAGAAGAACGGCCAGACCCCUUCGCCGAUGC